CGGACGAUGGCAGGAUAAAAGGCCGCGAGGUGCGGCUUCGGUCGGUUGUGGUUUUUCAAGAGGUUAUGACCCGCUUUCGCGAGGUGCCAGAUUUCCACGCACCUCGCGGCGAGACCGCUUUCUCCAUGAUUUCGGCGCCUUNUGUGCGGGGUCUCGGCCAUGAGCGGUGAGGACGAUUUCCGCAUCCGGCCAGGCCGCAUCAG
rnacentral:misc_RNA from 1 species